GUAGGUGGCAAGCGUUGUCCGGAAUUAUUGGGCGUAAAGCGCGCGCAGGCGGGUUCUUUAAGUCUGAUGUGAAAGCCCACGGGCUCAACCGUGGAGGGUCAUUGGAAACUGGAGAACUUGAGUACAGAAGAGGAAAGCGGAAUUCCACGUGUAGCGGUGAAAUGCGUAGAGAUGUGGAGGAACACCAGUGGCGAAGGCGGCUUUCUGGUCUGUAACUGACGCUGAGGCGCGAAAGCGUGGGGAGCAAACAGGAUUAGAUACCCUGGUAGUCCACGCCGUAAACGAUGAGUGCUAAGUGUUAGGGGGUUUCCGCCCCUUAGUGCUGCAGUUAACGCAUUAAGCACUCCGCCUGGGGAGUACGGCCGCAAGGCUA
rnacentral:rRNA from 1 species